GGUGGCUGGGUGGGUUGGGCAGCGCGUGUGCUCAUGGUCGGGUGAAUUUAUGGGAUUUAUCCAAGUUAAUGGUAGUGCUGGAGGCAGCCCCAGGGAGCGAGGCAAUCGGAAUGUGCCUCUUACCACUCCAUUAAGCCGCUCUCUGGACACGGAGUCAUCCCACUAGGCCUGUGCUUUUAAUGCCAAGAUCCGCAUUGCCCAGCCCUGGCCUGUGGGUCUCCUCCUCCUGCGCCCCAGCCCCACCUGCGGUCUUUGCAAACAGCGCCCCUGGACGAGGAGGGCACACGGACCCGAUCCGCUUCCCCAAAGCCUGUGGAGCACUUAUCAGUCCUAUUUAAAGCUCCAGUUAAGGAUUCGGAUUAGGGACUAUGUCAUUAAAUGACCACAUUCACGAGCCCUCAGAGAAAAGCUCUCACAAAGCUUUUGAGCUCAUGGCCUCUUGGCUGCCUUAGGAGCUUCCAGUGUGUUAACAUUCAGAAAAUCAAAAUAUUCCGAGCGCUGGCGCUGCAGCAUUCCCAGGCCUUUGCGGACUGGAAGCUUCUCUGUCUGCUGUGUGGACGGAGCGGCAGGAGCCAGUGAGUCCUGGGCAGCUUCGGGGCCACCUGGUCACAACCCCCCUCUGUCCCUCUGUCCCAGGGGCCCGGUCCUCUCGGCGGGGCUCCAGACCUCUGGCGGCUGCUUUUGUGCUCCUUCGCGGGGCAUCUGUGAGAACAGUCUGGAAGAUAAUGACAGAGUGCUUGCCUGGGGUGUCAGAGGAACUCUGGUUAUGUCUGAGCCGAACCCCCGGAGCCUCUGGACCACCUAGCACUGAGGGAACGGGAACUGGAGGGCGGGUGUGAGGCCGGGAGGAGCCUUCCAAUGGGAAGAAACCAAAGUUUCCUGCUGUGUCAUCUGAACUGGAAAGUGUUGUCCCCCAGGAAGUCUCUUGCCCUCCCCUUCUGCACGGGCAGCCGCUUCCCACGCUGUCCUUUGAUGGACACGCCAAUGCAGGUGGGAAUGAGCUUGGAAAUUCUAAAUGACCAGAGUGAUUUCUGGGCCCUGAGUGUAUUACAGAUGGAGAAAGCUUCUGAAUUCUCUAUGGAACUCCAGGCCCGACCUUGGGAUGGGAGGUGGGCGGCUGGGCCCACAAGGAAAGAGGUCUUGUCUUGCCCCACAGAGGAGGUGCUACCCUGAGCACUGUCGGGGGAGGAUUUCAAGGCCGCCCCCGGCCACCCCUGAUGGAUGCAUCAGUCACUUCAGCCGUGGUGCUGGGGGGACCCGAAGCGCAGGAGCAUCCUCUGUCGUCCUCCUGGCUGGGACCCUCUCACUUCCUGUCUGCACUGCAGCCCCAGUGUGUUCCUCUGGGAGCAUGGGGGCGACGCCAUCUGGGCCUGCCACUGGUCCUUCAGUGACCUUUGACCUCCCCAUCACCUGUGCUCCCCAAGUCUGGGGUCAUUUCCUGCUCAGAUAUCUUCUACCCCUGAUGAUCGAUUCCCCCUGGAGGGGUGAGCCACUGUCGGGAGGGGAGAUGAUGCUGCCUUGGGAGCUGAUCACGCAAGGAGGGGCAACCCCAGCCCAGAUCCUGGAGGUCUUUGGGCUUCCCGGUAGAAGCCGGCCUUUGUGUCAGCAAACCAAGAAAAUGCCUCCCCAAAAUGGUCUCCAGGUCCCCCCAAACGCCUACCUCCCCCUCCAGCCUUCUCCACUGAUGCCUGCAGCUCCAUCAGUAGCGUUUCAUUCCACCCCAACAGGAGCUGGUACUGGUUCUUCCCUGGCCUCAUACUGGGGUAGAUUUUAAAUAGGAUUGGGAGCAGGGAAAGGAGUCAGAGAAAGGAAGGGUUCCAGGAAGCUGGGGAGGGAGAUGUCAGGUGGGGUGACGGGAAAGGAGGCCAAGGACCACCUUUGUCUGUAGGAUGGGCUGAACUGUGUUCCCACAAAAGAUAGGGAGUCCUAACCCCAGCUACCUGUGAAUGUGACCUUAUUUGGGAAUAGAGUUUUUGCAGAUGGAAUCAAGUCACGAUGAGGUCACUAGUGUGAGCCUUAAUGUAAUAGGAUUGAUGUCCUUUUAAGAAGAGAAGACAGAGACACAUGGGAGAAGGCCACGUGAUGAAGGAGGCAGAAGCUGGAGCGACGCUACCACAGGCCAAGGAACACCGGGGUUACCAGGAACUGGAAGAGGCGAGGAGGGGCCAUCCCCUAAAGACUUUGGAGAGAGUAUGGCUCUGUCAACACCUUGAUUUCAGACCUGUAGCCCCUAAAUGGUGAGAGAAUAAUUGUCUAUUGUUUUAAGCCCUCCAGCUUAUAGUACAUUGUAAAGGCAGCCCUAGGAAGCCCUUGCCAGUUUCACUCAUUAUGAUAAAUAUCAUAGAUGAUGACUGUCAUAUAUUGGAUGUGCUGGAGAUCUUAACAGCCACAGAAUAAACUGCAGGCCAGAAAAAGAACAUUCAUAUGAGGUCCCCAGGAGGGGCUGGCUGUGCCAGUCAGAGACUGCAGAACCAGGUAGGCAGACAAAGUGAAAUUGCCUGGAGCUGGACACGUAUGUGCACCACUGGGAAAUAAAUAGACUUGCAGUGGAAAUGACCAACGUGGAUGGCCAGGGAAAUGCCGGCAGCAAUAAAAGAAAAGAGCGCACAAGGCCUGUAAAUCAGCAGAUGCGAGAGCUCCUGAAAAGUGGCGAAGUCUGAAAUAAAAGGCAGGCUCAGGCUUGGGGUCUAAGAAGUUGAAGCAGGAUAUGAGAGCGCGGGCACUGUGUGUGCUGGGCUCCCGAAGACCGCAGGGAGUGGCCAGAAGUCUCCAGAGGCAGCAUCAUGCGGGGCAAGGGGGACCUGAGGAGUGUCAGCAUCCUCGGUCACCUCCUUCUUCGAACCAGCUGUUCGGAAUCUGGUGUCUUAUUUAGGAUAAUUGUAGGAACUGACUUUUUUUUUUUUUCUCACCUGUUGGCUGACUGAAAGAACCGACUUUUUAAUGAGCACCUCCCUCAUUAGAAUUGUUCAAAUGAUAACAGCUGCAGCAGUGGGAGCAGCAGCGAGGUUGAAAAUCCAACAGUCUGCAUUCCACAGCAACAGUACUCUUGGUCACCUCGGAGACAUGGCAGCCAAGAGCCAUGGCUCUCAUCGCUCGUGGUUGGUUGGGUUGCCAGGCCUAGGGCUACAGAAUGUAGCUAAAAGAGAGGCUUGGCGGGCAGCUAAGAGGGGCGCAGGACACCAGGAUGGGGUUCAUGUGGCAAGAGUGGAUGGAGCCAGUGGCCCAGUAGGGAUGAGAUGGCACAGUUCCAAUGGGCAGGACAAACCCCAGUCACUGUCUCAGGGUAGUGGCCGAAUUUGACAGGAGGUAAACAGCAGACAAAAUCCUGGAGCACAAGAGGGCAAGAGUGUCUCAUUCCUAUGAACGGCAAUAUUGGAGGACCGACCCCCAAGAGCAUCAGCUUCCAAGGCAGGGCUUUCUGUCUGGCGUUGGCAGCAGCCACCUAGCACUAUAGGCAGGGAGAAGCAGCCCAGGUCCCCUCACAUUUGCCUCACUUAGACUCUUUUGACCAAAGCACCACUGUUUAAAGCCUCAUUUUUCUUCUCCCACGUGGAAAAUCAUAUUGCUUAAAUUUAAAAAUGACGAUAGAUAGAUUGAUGAAAAAAUCCCCAUACAGCAAAAUUCUGCCUGUGACAAAAGGGUCUCCAUGUCUGAGGUGACGGUCUACUUUGAGUGACGCCAAGAACGUCAAAAUCGCUCUAUAAAAAAAGAAUAGGAACCAAUAGGGCUCAUGAAAAUGCCACACUAAGAAAAGUCAACAAAUAUAUACUUAGUGGUAAUUAUGGUUGCAGAGAAAGAGAAAACUUAAAACAAUAUGAACAUAUAUGGUUACAUAGAUUGAAAACCCACCAUGUCAUAAAACCCCAGGACACAGAAUGCAUCAGCGUAGACAGCAGCCAUACAGACAAUGCUGGGGCGGUUGUGGAGUGGGACUGGAGGGCGGGAGGAGCCAUCGAGUCAGGUCCAAGGCCAUUAGCCUUGUGAUGCCAGCAAAAUGUCUUCAAAAGUCACUGGAUUUUUCAAUGAGAAGGAAAAGUUAGGCAGCUACCAAAUAGCUGAAAGAAUAUUAAAUCUGAUGGAUCCAGCCAAAUAAAAAUGUUCAGUCAUUCAUGGGAUUUGCGGUUGUUGAGGAAUCUUCUAAGUUUUAUAAAUGGCAAAAACUCUUUCUCAAAGUUACAGAUCAGACCUCACAUAUGCAUGAGAAGAGAAGCUAUUUUUGUCUCUGGGUUCCAGUUACACAUCCACAGCCUGGAAGCUUUGUUCUCAGAAUUCAUGCUGUCAUCAAAAGGACUCAAUACAAACACUGCAGCCAGCCUGCCAUGGCUUAGCUGUGACCGCAGCUGCAAACUCUUCUGUCAUGUGAAAACCUUUGGGCUUUUUCCGGGUGUGGAGUGCCUGUUGGUCCCAGCUCCGCCUGCCUUUCCUCCUCCUGGAAUCGUGCCCAUCCUUUCAGUCAACUCAGUUUUUCCGCAUCUUCCAGGCCUCAUACCUCCGCCUGAUCUGCAUGGCAGUGGUGGGCUGGCUCUUUGUGCUUUUACACCGUGAUCAUGUUUAGCGGGUCAGCUUCUACAGAAUCGACCGGCACCUGUGUGAUGUCUUUCCCUAGCUGGAUGCAGCUUCUCCAUGGGCUAAGUUCAUCAUGUUAACAAUGCCUGCCCCACAGGCCCUCAGGGGAUUUUAAUGGGUGGUCUGUGGAGAGACUUUAGCAGGUAUAUGAAUCCCCAAAAUUGUAGGCAAAAUUUGUGUGCGCCGUUGCCUGUUGACAGCGGGGACUCUGCGGCUGCUUUCUUCUAGAAGCCUCCUGCGGAUUUGAGUGAAUCAUGGCAGUCUCCUUCCCUCUAGAGUGAUUAGUUUCGGCUUUGGCUCAACAUGGUGCAGACCAUGGGAUCCAAAGGGAAGUUUGCUGGGCAUUUCUGGGAAGGAGGGCUCUUCUUCUGAUUUGGUAGGGAGCCCUCUUUUUCAUCAAACGCCACGGCUCUCACAUGAAUGCUGCCUAGAGCAGACACAGCCCUUCCAGGACCAGAGGCCAAGGCUGAUAAUGGGACAAGAGGGUGGAGGAAGAAGUGAGGAGCAUCUAGGCCUUCCUCUUUGACCAAGCACUGUCCUAACCAGUCCUGAUUUGUUCGCUUCUAGUUACAUGAUAUAAUAAAUGUCCUAUUUCUUAAGGCACUU